ensembl:lncRNA
UUUUUAUUUACUUAUCAUUAUCACUUUGUUCAUGCUCUGUUCUCACUUCACAGCUUCAAACUAGGAACAUUUUAAAACUUGCAGGUGUCCUUAAAAAUUACACACUAUUGAGAAAGCUUAUGGCUUUUAAGCAUUUACACUAGUGGUUCCAGUGAAACCUGCUGUAAUUGAUCGAUCAGUUGCACAUUCACAGCUUGUUUAAGCUGAAAUUCUAUUUCCAUGAUACAUUUUUCUGCAAAGGACUUUCUGCAAAAUCCCUUCUGGAGCUGGUUUCCUUUAUUCCCGUGGGACGUGCUGCAGUGCCAGAGGAAGGAGCACCGCGCCUGUCCCUGCACGGUCCCCACCUCUUCCCUUUCGCUCCCUGAUGCUGCCUUCCAAGCCUUUCUUGGCCUGGCUGUCAUUACAGCACCCCAAAAAGAGCGUGUGUUUAAUAACACUUCCAACAACUUCUGGAAAGGAGCCUCCGAGUUAUUGGACCUGUGAGAAGGCAAUAAUCGACAACGAACAAGUUGGUGGGCUGUACACAUCUGUGUACUCUGCCUUGGAAAAUAAAGGCUGUUGCCAUGGCAACUGCCACAAGCUGGGCCCGUACAUUAGUUAUGGUGAGACUGGGGCGUUGAGUGCAGGCCCCGGCCCCGCCUGUGUGCUGGGCCUGCGCUGUGCCCAGGGGCCAGGCCUGACCGCUGGCGCUGUGCGGCCGCAGCGGCCUUGUCUCACCUGGGGAGCAAAUAAAAAAAAGUGUGAGAGUACCCCCGUAAACGAGCAGCCCAGCUGUAAAACAAACUGUGCAGAAAUUGCAACCGAGCUGAUGAUGAUCUUGGGAUCUUCUUACCAGAAGGUGCAGGUGCAUUUGUUAAGCACAUUUGGUCUUCCUUGUAUGCUGAUCAUCAUUUCAGUAAAGGGAGACUUGUUUUGUGGCAGCUGCGUAUAGAAGGUGAGGCGUGAGAAAAGCAAGGCAUCUCUGCAUCACUUUGCCAACAGAGCCCAAGACAGAAUUAUUUGAGGAGGCAUGGAGGACGGGAAGAAGAUGGUGGAGGUUUAGGAGCUGCAGUGAGUGCCCAGUGCUGGGCCACACCGUGCUGGGGGCGGAGGGGUAGUGCUAUGCGUUCUUGCUGGUUUUAGGGAAGGAUGAAUGUGUGAUCGGGUGCAAGAUGAGGUGUACAUAGAAGUUACCCUCCUGAUCUGCAGGCAUGACCUGGGAGCUGACUUGCCCCCUGUAUCCUCCUGUCUAGCGUGUCCUUGACUGGGGACUUUGCCAGGGCCCUGCCCAUCGCCCUGCGGAGCCUUUGGCUGCCCCAGUGCCUAGUUAAUUAUACAUAAAAAAUGGAGCAGCUCCAAAAGAGGGACUGGGAGACCUGGGGCACAUUACCCUGGACAAGGUGACUGGAAUCUGCAUUUCCAGCUGAAGACCAAAGAUCCAGCUUGGUGGCACUGAGCAGAGGAGUGUCCCUGUUCUUGGUCAUAUUGGAAAAUCUUGUGAGGAAAAACCUGCUGGACUGAUUUUGAGAGCAAGCACCUUGUGACUGCUCUGUUGGGAACUGACAGGAAAUAAAGCUGCUGCCAUAAAGUUAUACGAUGAAUAU